CAGAAAUGUGGUCCUCAGCGUGAAGUAUGCACAGCGCAGUUCCCAGAUCCAUCCAGCAUUGUCCAGUCCCCAGAAACCCACCUGUUGCACUUUACAGGUCUUCGUCGAUUACUUCGUCAACCAAAUCAAUGCCAGUCCGUCGAAGCGAUAGUCCUCUUUCCUGAAUGAAGACAAAGUAAAAUGGCGGCAUGUUCGGAUGCAGCGACCUCUUGGGGACCAACCAAAAGUGCCUUUUUCUUUACGAGUGCAAGACAAUGCUGGACUCCAAGAACUUUGGGUACUGCUGGUCUACCCUAUCGGUGAGCUUCUUACUAGCAGAUGUGCAGAACUGGGUGCAGACUGUGUUGCUGGCUGCUACAGGAAGGCGUCAAAGACAUUGGAGUUGGUGCGCGAAGACGGCAUGCAGUGUAACUAUGGGUGUUUGUCUUGGACUUUUCUCUUGCGACUACAAGACCAUGUUGGACAUUGAUCAUGUAAGAUGCUGCAGGCCGGUUUCCCUUAUUUGAUAGCACGACAAACGGUUGGGAAGUUGCAUGGUCUUGCUUGUAGCAAGGACUAGAACUCAAGCCACAGGCUUGCCUGCUACUGCAGUUCAGGAGAGGAGAUGCUGGAGGUGGUGUAGUGUAACAUCCGUGCUUGGUUGGGAGCUGGCCGCUCCAAUCAGUGCUGCCAGUGUAUGUUCAGUGGAAUGACAGGUUGUAUUAGGAGCCUGUGUUUGACUGUGCAUUGCCAGGAACUGUACCAUCUAAAUGUGGAACAUGUCACUUGGAGACUUGAGCUAUAUAUAUAUAUUUUUCCUCUAUUUUGAAUGUGCUGUGUAUGUUUUGCACCUUGGCCCCAGAGGAACACUAUUUCAUUUGGCUGUAUUCAUGUAUGGUUGAAUAUUCAAAAUUCUGAGUUCAGAGUAAAAUUCAUUAUCAGGGUACAUACAUGUCACCACAUACAACCCUGAGGUACUU